CCAAGGAGUCUAACAUGUGCGCGAGUCAUUGGGACUUGUAUAUGCCCAAAGGCGAAAUGAAAGUGAAGGACGGCCCCAGCCGUCCGAGUUGGGACCCCGCGUCACUUGUUACAGGUGUAUGGGGGCACCAACGACCCGUCCCGUCCGCAGCGUCGGUGGGGCGGAGUGUGAGCGUACACGUUGGGACCCGAAAGAUGGUGAACUAUGCCUGGGCAGGACGAAGCCAGAGGAAACUCUGGUGGAGGUCCGUAGCGAUUCUGACGUGCAAAUCGAUCGUCAGACCCGGGUAUAGGGGCGAAAGACUAAUCGAACCAUCUAGUAGCUGGUUCCCUCCGAAGUUUCCCUCAGGAUAGCUGGCACUCGUGUGGGAAUCAGUCUCAUCCGGUAAAGCGAAUGAUUAGAGGCCUUGGGGCCGAAACGACCUCAACCUAUUCUCAAACUUUAAAGGGGUGAGAAGUCCGGCUUGCACGACUGAAGCUCGGACGACACAGGAUGAGAGUGCCCAGUGGGCCACUUUU
rnacentral:rRNA from 1 species